rnacentral:hammerhead_ribozyme from 1 species
AUCCAGCUGACCAGUUCCAAAUAGGAGGAAAUGCAUGUUGUCCUGGAU